rnacentral:rRNA from 1 species
GGGAACGUACCUUUUGGUUCGGAACAACUGAGGGAAACUUCAGCUAAUACCGGAUAAGCCCUUACGGGGAAAGAUUUAUCGCCGAAAGAUCGGCCCGCGUCUGAUUAGCUAGUUGGUGAGGUAAUGGCUCACCAAGGCGACGAUCAGUAGCUGGUCUGAGAGGAUGAUCAGCCACAUUGGGACUGAGACACGGCCCAAACUCCUACGGGAGGCAGCAGUGGGGAAUAUUGGACAAUGGGUGCAAGCCUGAUCCAGCCAUGCCGCGUGAGUGAUGAAGGCCCUAGGGUUGUAAAGCUCUUUUGUGCGGGAAGAUAAUGACGGUACCGCAAGAAUAAGCCCCGGCUAACUUCGUGCCAGCAGCCGCGGUAAUACGAAGGGGGCUAGCGUUGCUCGGAAUCACUGGGCGUAAAGGGUGCGUAGGCGGGUCUUUAAGUCAGGGGUGAAAUCCUGGAGCUCAACUCCAGAACUGCCUUUGAUACUGAAGAUCUUGAGUUCGGGAGAGGUGAGUGGAACUGCGAGU